rnacentral:rRNA from 1 species
AGUGAACGCUGGCGGUAGGCCUAACACAUGCAAGUCGAACGGCAGCACAGUAAGAGCUUGCUCUUACGGGUGGCGAGUGGCGGACGGGUGAGGAAUACAUCGGAAUCUACUUUUUCGUGGGGGAUAACGUAGGGAAACUUACGCUAAUACCGCAUACGCCCUACGGGUGAAAGCAGGGGAUCUUCGGACCUUGCGCGAUUGAAUGAGCCGAUGUCGGAUUAGCUAGUUGGCGGGGUAAAGGCCCACCAAGGCGACGAUCCGUAGCUGGUCUGAGAGGAUGAUCAGCCACCCUGGAACUGAGACACGGUCCAGACGCCUACGGGAGGCAGCAGUGGGGAAUAUUGGACAAUGGGCGCAAGCCUGAUCCAGCCAUACCGCGUGGGUGAAGAAGGCCUUCGGGUUGUAAAGCCCUUUUGUGGGGAAAGAAAAGCAGCAGGUUAAGACCCCGCUGUUCUGACGGUACCCAAAGAAUAAGCACCGGCUAACUUCGUG